rnacentral:lncRNA from 1 species
GAGGGGAGCGGCUAUCGCGCGUUCUCGCCUCCCCGCUGUAGCUGCCGCCGCCCGGCCGGAGGCGGGGAUCGGCGUGAAGUGGGUCAGCGGGGCCGCCCCGCCCCGCCCGCCGGGUCAGUCAGUCCGUCAGUCCUCCCCUCCCUCCCUGGCGGCCGCCGGGCUCCCGCGCCGCGUCUUGCCGCCGCCGCCCGCAGCCAGAAUCCAAGAAAUUCUGAGUCAAAACUCAAACCUGUAUCCAGAUACUUCAGCACGUAUGGUGAGAAGAUGAAUUGCUGCAUUCUGGACAAGUUGAAGCUUGGAAUGCUUGGACAAAGGGAAUCCAAAAAGGAGGAAAUGUCAUUAGUUAAAAGGAGAUGA